CCCUUCGUCGCCGCGGCUCUCGUCCGGGACACGGCUUUCCGGAGUAGAGCCCUUGGAGGUGUUAAGUGUGAUGCUUCCAUAAUACAUUUGGAUGUUGUCAGCUAAGUUCACUUCUGAACUAAGGGGUUCCUCCAAAUGUUGGCUGAAAUUCAUCCCAAGGCUGGUCUGCAAAGUUUACAAUUCAUAAUGGAGCUACUGUACUGGCUAUUGGAAGGAGGAGAUUCUGAAGAUAAGGAGGAUGCCACUGGAAAUGUUGAAAUGAAAAAUAUUCAGCCGUCGGUCUUUGAAAUUUCCUGUGAUGUAUUUCAAUCGAGAUGCAAAGAACAUGGAAAAAUCAAAGUGCUCAAGUGGUUUAAAUAUGUUUUGGAUGUUCCUGUUUAUAGACUAUAAUACUUUUCCAAUUAAAAUCCUCAGUUGUCACGCAGAAGAAGGUUAAGCUGUAUUUGAUUGCCAGUUUUACUGAAAAUGCUUAGUAUUUUACAGUAUCACCAAAUAUAUUUUGUUUAGCCAAGGUAUAGGAAAAAUAAAAUAAAUUGUAUAGGUUGACUUUUUUCUAAAAUGUCUUUAUUGGAUAGAAUGAAUGUUUAUACCUGAAAAAAAAAAGGUUCAAAAAAA
rnacentral:lncRNA from 1 species